AGCCAUAGAAUGCUCAUUUUUUAUUAUUUGUCUCAUCAGUGCAAACCAAUUACAGCAAAAAAUGUAAUCAUUAUCCUUCAUCACCUUGCCAUUUACCAAAAAAUGUAAUCAUUAUCCUCCAUCACCUUUAUAUACGUGGAUGCAUUCUUCAUUAUCUGAUUAGUCAUAGAACUUGAUAAUCAUCCUGCCAUACUCUGACUCCCUUCAUGACAGUCAUGCCAUCUUUCCACGAAAUUGCAGCAGUAUUAAACCACACGACAUUGUAUCGCAACGACUUUAUCACCAACUGUGCUCUCGAUAAUUCAAUAUAUUAUUAAGAGAUAAUUAUUAUGACAAAAAUCACAAAAUUAUUCCCUAAUAAUAAUUUAAAUUAUCUUAACUCAAUCAUCUAAUGGUUUAGAACUUCGUUCACUCAACAAUUUCGAUCAUUCGGGCCGAUUGUGUAAUUUUGGGUCCAAACAACUACUAAAUUAAUCACAUGGACCAAUAGUUGUAAUAGGACCAAAUUGUUUUAAUAAGAUUAAAAUGUAUGCUUAUAUAUGAUGAGACCUAAAACCCUCAACCAAACCAUUAUUAAGUUGACAAGCGUGAGAGUGCUUUGAACACUCUUUCAAGGCCUUCCGCCGUGGUAGGCUCCAAUCGUUUGUGACUCAUACACCGACUUCACCCUAUAAUAGGGGAGUACAAAGUAUGUGCUUACACUCAGGAGGAGUUCUACAUACAUACAUGAUGAAGUGAGGUAGGCAACGAGUUUAGCCAACAUGAUAUAAUUUUGAGGCUAUGCUUGAACCCCUACACGAAUUGGCUGGUGGGAAUGACUUAACUAAGUGCAAUGACGCCAACAUGAUAUAAUUCUGAGGCAUCAUUCUCUAAAGGUCAAACUAGAUGGGUACUUACAUGAGAUGUAAAUGAGUAAGUGUACUCUCUCAUUAUUAUUAACA
rnacentral:lncRNA from 1 species